rnacentral:rRNA from 1 species
UGAGGAAUACAUGGGUAACCUGCCCUUGAGGAUGGGAUAACCCGCCGAAAGGCGAGCUAAUACCAUAUACGCUUGUUAUCUCGCGUUAUAGCAAGGAAAGCUGGACCGAGGGUUUGGCGCUCAAGGAGGGGCUCAUGUCCUAUCAGCUUGUUGGUAGGGUAACGGCCUACCAAGGCAACGACGGGUAGCUGGUCUGAGAGGAUGAUCAGCCACACUGGCACUGAGACACGGGCCAGACUCCUACGGGAGGCAGCAGUGAGGAAUAUUGCGCAAUGGGCGAAAGCCUGACGCAGCGACGCCGCGUGGGGGAUGAAGGUUUUCGAAUUGUAAACCCCUUUCAGGAGGAAAGAGAAGGUGGGUUACCACCUAGACGGUACCUCCAGAAGAAGCCACGGCUAACUUCGUGCCAGCAGCCGCGGUAAUACGAAGGUGGCGAGCGUUGUUCGGAUUUACUGGGCGUAAAGAGCACGUAGGCGGUUAGGUAAGCCUCUUGGGAAAGCUCCUGGCUUAACCGGGAAAGGUCGAGGGGAACUGCCUANCUAGAGGGCGGGAGAGGAGCG